rnacentral:rRNA from 1 species
UGGGGGAUAUUGCACAAUGGGCGAAAGCCUGAUGCAGCGACGCCGCGUGGGGGAUGAAGGCUUUCGGGUUGUAAACCUCUUUCGCUAUCGAACAAGGCCCGCUUAGGGUGGGUUGAGGGUAGGUGGAGAAGAAGCGCCGGCUAACUACGUGCCAGCAGCCGCGGUAAUACGUAGGGCGCGAGCGUUGUCCGGAAUUAUUGGGCGUAAAGGGCUUGUAGGCGGCUUGUUGCGCCUGCUGUGAAAACGCGGGGCUUAACUUCGCGCGUGCAGUGGGUACGGGCAGGCUUGAGUGUGGUAGGGGUGACCGGAAUUCCAGGUGUAGCGGUGGAAUGCGCAGAUAUCUGGAGGAACACCGAUGGCGAAGGCAGGUCACUGGGCCAUUACUGACGCUGAGGAGCGAAAGCAUGGGUAGCGAACAGG